AUUGAACGCUGGCGGCAGGCCUAACACAUGCAAGUCGAACGGUAACAGGGAUCAGCUUGCUGAUUCGCUGACGAGUGGCGGACGGGUGAGUAAUGUCUGGGAAACUGCCUGAUGGAGGGGGAUAACUACUGGAAACGGUAGCUAAUACCGCAUAACGUCGCAAGACCAAAGAGGGGGACCUUCGGGCCUCUUGCCAUCGGAUGUGCCCAGAUGGGAUUAGCUAGUAGGUGGGGUAACGGCUCACCUAGGCGACGAUCCCUAGCUGGUCUGAGAGGAUGACCAGCCACACUGGAACUGAGACACGGUCCGGACUCCUACGGGAGGCAGCAGUGGGGAAUAUUGCACAAUGGGCGCAAGCCUGAUGCAGCCAUGCCGCGUGUAUGAAGAAGGCCUUCGGGUUGUAAAGUACUUUCAGCGGGGAGGAAGGGAGUAAAGUUAAUACCUUUGCUCAUUGACGUUACCCGCAGAAGAAGCACCGGCUAACUCCGUG
rnacentral:rRNA from 1 species